GACGAACGCUGGCGGCGUGCUUAACACAUGCAAGUCGAACGGUAAGGCCCUUCGGGGUACACGAGUGGCGAACGGGUGAGUAACACGUGGGUGAUCUGCCCUGCACUUCGGGAUAAGCCUGGGAAACUGGGUCUAAUACCGGAUAGGACCACUGCCUGCAUGGGGGGUGGUGGAAAGCUUUUGCGGCGUGGGAUGGGCCCGCGGCCUAUCAGCUUGUUGGUGGGGGGAUGCCCUACCAAGACGACGACGGGUAGCCGGCCUGAGAGGGUGACCGGCCACACUGGGACUGAGAUACGGCCCAGACUCCUACGGGAGGCAGCAGUGGGGAAUAUUGCACAAUGGGCGCGAGCCUGAUGCAGCGACGCCGCGUGAGGGAUGACGGCCUUCGGGUUGUAAACCUCUUUCAGCACCGACGAAGCGCAAGUGACGGUAGGUGCAGAAGAAGGACCGGCCAACUACGUGCCAGCCGCCGCUGUAA
rnacentral:rRNA from 1 species